GCCUUGGUAGUUCAGUGAUAGAAUUCUCACCUUCCAUAUUGGAGACCUGGGUUUGAUUCCCAGCCAAUGCA
rnacentral:tRNA from 1 species